UUGGUGGCCUUCGGGAACGUACUGACACAGGUGCUGCAUGGCUGUCGUCAGCUCGUGUCGUGAGAUGUUGGGUUAAGUCCGUAACGAGCGCAACCCUUGUCCUUAGUUACCAGCACGUUAUGGUGGGCACUCUAAGGAGACUGCCGGUGCAAACCGGAGGAAGGUGGGGGUGACGUCAAGUCAUCAUGGCCCUUACGGCCUGGGCUACACACGUGCUACAAUGGUCGGUACAAAGGGUUGCCAAGCCGCGAGGUGGAGCUAAUCCCAUAAAACCGAUCGUAGUCCGGAUCGCAGUCUGCAACUCGACUGCGUGAAGUCGGAAUCGCUAGUAAUCGUGAAUCAGAAUGUCACGGUGAAUACGUUCCCGGGCCUU
rnacentral:rRNA from 1 species